GGUGCGGCUGAGGGGGGACCGCCCCCUGGACUGAGCCCGGCCAGAUCUACGGAGCAGCAGUGGGAUAUGCCCAAUGGCGAAACCUGAUGCAGCGACGCCGGUGAGGAUGACGGCUUCGGGUUGUAACCUCUUUCAGCAGGGAAGAAGCGAAAGUGACGGUACCUGCAGAAGAAGCGCCGGCUAACUACGUGCCAGCAGCCGCGGUAAUACGUAGGGCGCAAGCGUUGUCCGGAAUUAUUGGGCGUAAAGAGCUCGUAGGCGGCUUGUCACGUCGGGUGUGAAAGCCCGGGGCUUAACCCCGGGUCUGCAUUCGAUACGGGCUAGCUAGAGUGUGGUAGGGGAGAUCGGAAUUCCUGGUGUAGCGGUGAAAUGCGCAGAUAUCAGGAGGAACACCGGUGGCGAAGGCGGAUCUCUGGGCCAUUACUGACGCUGAGGAGCGAAAGCGUGGGGAGCGAACAGGAUUAGAUACCCUGGUAGUCCACGCCGUAAACGGUGGGAACUAGGUGUUGGCGACAUCCA
rnacentral:rRNA from 1 species